GAUGAACGCUAGCGGCAGGCUUAAUACAUGCAAGUCGAGGGGCAGCAGGACUGUAGCAAUACAGUUGCUGGCGACCGGCAAACGGGUGCGGAACACGUACGCAAUCUACCCAGAACUGAUGAAUAGCCCUCCGAAAGGAGGAUUAAUACAUCGUAACAUAAUGAAGUGGCAUCACUCUAUUAUUAUAGCUCCGGCGGUUUUGGAUGAGCGUGCGCCUGAUUAGGUAGUUGGCGGGUAACGGCCACCAAGCCUUCGAUCAGUAACUGGUGUGAGAGCACGACCAGUCACACGGGCACUGAGACACGGGCCCGACUCCUACGGGAGGCAGCAGUAAGGAAUAUUGGUCAAUGGACGCAAGUCUGAACCAGCCAUGCCGCGUGAAGGA
rnacentral:rRNA from 1 species